UGCCGGUGAAUUCGGGUUGAGACGAAAAGAAAUCUGUGAGGCGUUUGGGCUAUGGUUUUGCAUAUAGGUCUUUCCUUUUCAGGUUACGGACGAUGAAGUUCAGAAGAACUUAUUCUUUUCUGUUAGACGAUAUUUCUGUAUUGUUUUAGUAUUUAUGUUUCCCUCGCCUUUAGCUUUGCAUGUUUUGUAAGAGGGAUAGGAUGUUGAUAUGAGAUGCUUGUAA